UAUGAGGGGUAUAGAUAGGGUAAAUGCAAGCAGGCUUUUUCCACUGAGAUUAGGUGGGACUGCAACUAGAUGUCAUAGGUUAAGGACGAAAGGUGAAAAGUUUAAAGGAAACAUGAGAGGAAACAUCUUCACUUGGAGGGUCAUGAGAAUGUGGAAUGAACUGCCAGCGCCGGUGGUGCAUGCAAGCUCGAUUUCAACAUUUAACAGAAGUUUGGACAGAACUAAGAAGAGGGCUGUGGAAGUUGUGGUAAGGCAAGGGUUAAAGACAGCAUCCAGGUAAGGACAGCCAGAAGCACUUAUAGUCAGGCGCUGCUCCUGUGGGAAGAAUGGGACUUUGAGCUGACUGUCAAAUGGGCAGGGAAUAACUCCUAAUUUUCUCCAGUGAUAAAGGCAGUGCAAAGGACAUGCCUCUUUCAGCAGAACAGCCCGUGAACAGCCUCCCAGUUUCCACCAAGUAUGAAGUGGCAUGGAUUUCAAGACUUUUAUCUGUGUUCAGUUAAACAUAAGACUUAGAAACAAAAUAGUUAUUUUGGCUUCAUAGCACACAUUUGGUAGUCCUCGCAGAAGGCAGCACAGGUGGAUGACAUCCUGUUAAGUAGUAUUUUCUGGAACAUUUCCUGCUGGAUAAUGGAUGUCUCGUGGGGUCACCCAGGGCAGACUCCAAUCUCCAAUACUGUGCUUCCCCAAACUGCAUCAACUCAAAAUACUCAAUCAAAACCAAAAGCACGGAAUGAGGUGCUAGGAAGAAAGUAUAGGAAGUCAUGUUGAUCCGCAGAUACCCAGCAGUAUGAAAAUGUGUUUUAUCCGAUCAAACACGACACAAGUCUGCUAAGGCUAAGAGGAAGCAGAGCUGCCAUAAGAAGGCAACUCGCCCACCUACUGUUUCCAUCCGGAAAGUGGAAACCGUUUCCCAAAGAACCUAAGCUGGCGACAGCUGAUACUUUGUCUCAUUGUAAUCCAACUGGACAGGGGAAGGCUUGCAAUAUAAUUAUCCUGAUGAUUUACAUAUAUCUCUAUUUAUUUGCAUACUGGGCUCAUUUUGUAGGUGUUCGGCAGAAUGUUUAUCCUGCUCAAUAGAUCCAGCAGUUUAAUUAAAACUUACAUCUUUCAAGAUUGCCAAUUGAGAGCUCAGCCCAUUCACAAACUGCAAAUUAUCUGGAGUGUGCUGGCUAUGUCUAUGUACUUGA